rnacentral:rRNA from 1 species
CCUACGGGCGGCAGCAGUGGGGAAUAUUGGACAAUGGGCGAAAGCCUGAUCCAGCCAUGCCGCGUGUGUGAAGAAGGCCUUCGGGUUGUAAAGCACUUUCAGUGGGGAAGAAAGCCUUGGGGCUAAUACCCUCGAGGAAGGACAUCACCCACAGAAGAAGCACCGGCUAACUCCGUGCCAGCAGCCGCGGUAAUACGGAGGGUGCGAGUGUUAAUCGGAGUUACUGGGCGUAAAGCGCGCGUAGGCGGUCUGAUAAGCCGGUUGUGAAAGCCCCGGGCUCAACCUGGGAACGGCAUCCGGAACUGUCAGGCUAGAGUGCAGGAGAGGAAGGUAGAAUUCCCGGUGUAGCGGUGAAAUGCGUAGAGAUCGGGAGGAAUACCAGUGGCGAAGGCGGUCUUCUGGACUGACACUGACGCUGAGGUGCGAAAGCGUGGGUAGCAAACAGGAUUAGAUACCCGUGUAGUC